CGCACUUCUUGUUUCCUGGGCGGGUUCGCCCGCCACCAGGACCCAACCAUAAACCUUUUUUGUAAUUGCAAUCAGCGUCAGUACACAAUGUAAUUAUUACAACUUUCAACAACGGAUCUCUUGGUUCUGGCAUCGAUGAAGAACGCAGCGAAAUGCGAUACGUAGUGUGAAUUGCAGAAUUCAGUGAAUCAUCGAAUCUUUGAACGCACAUUGCGCCCUUUGGUAUUCCAAAGGGCAUGCCUGUUCGAGCGUCAUUUGUACCCUCAAGCUUUGCUUGGUGUUGGGCGUCUUUUUGUCUCUCGCGAGACUCGCCUUAAAAUGAUUGGCAGCCGACCUACUGGUUUCGGAGCGCAGCACAAUUCUUGCACUUUGAAUCAGCCCUGGUUGAGCAUCCAUCAAGACCACAUUUUUUUAACUUUUGACCUCGGAUCAGGUAGGGAUACCCGCUGAACUUAAGCAUAUCAUCAGCCCGGAAGAAAG
rnacentral:rRNA from 1 species